rnacentral:rRNA from 1 species
CGAGUACAGCGGCGCACGGGUUGAGUAACACGUAGGCAACCUACCUACGAGCCUGGGAUAACCUGCCGAAAGGCGGGCUAAUACCGAUAAGACCACGGGGGCUGCGGCUUCCGCGGUAAAAGGUGGCCUCUCCUUGGAAGCUACCACUCGCAGAUGGGCCUGCGCGCCAUUAGCUAGUUGGCGGGGUAAUGGCCCACCAAGGCAAAGAUGGCUAGCUGGUCUGAGAGGAUGGCCAGCCACACUGGGACUGAGACACGGCCCAGACUCCUACGGGAGGCAGCAGUGGGGAAUAUUGCGCAAUGGCGAAAGCCUGACGCAGCGACGCCGCGUGGGUGAUGAAGGCCUUCGGGUCGUAAAGCCCUGUCGGGAGGGACGAAACCUUGGUGACCUAAUACGUCAUCGACCUGACGGUACCUCCUAAGGAAGCACCGGCUAACUCCGUGCCAGCAGCCGCGGUAA